rfam:Sporocytophaga myxococcoides DNA, contig: Contig48_04, strain: PG-01.
AAUGCAAGCCAUCUUAUCGUUCCGACUUUUGAGUCGGGAAGGAAAGUCCGGGCAACAGAGAGCACCAUACUUCCUAACGGGAAGGCUUUUCAUAGUUUUAUGAAAGGACAGAAAGUGCCACAGAAAAUUACCGCCUUGCAAAAGGUAAGGGUGAAAAAGUGAGGUAAGAGCUCACUCGUUUUGCAGUGAUGUAAAAUUGGGGUAAACCUUAUGGGUUGAAAGACCAAAUAGGUUCCGUCUACAACAGAGUUGCUCGCUCUGAUUCCGGCUAACGGAAUGGCGGAAUGGGUAGGUCGUUUGAUUCCCGAUGGCGACUUCGGGACCAGAUAAAUGAUAAGACAAGACAGAACCCGGCUUAACGGCUUGCAUUUUUU